ACAUUGCAGCCUUCUGCAAGGAUGGGGUGGUACUGUCCUCCUCAGUUUUCAUUCUCUUUCAUUUUAAAAUGAUAAACCUGGGUCAGAGGAUAUUUAGGAAGAGGCAUUGUCAUUAAGUCCAAGACAAGAUGGUCAGAUUUGUUAUCCUAGUGGGUUACAAUCCAAAAUACUCCGGAGCAUGCUGAGAUUAAGGUGGUUGCCAAGGGAAGAGAAAACAGCCAUGAGUAAAUAAAUCAAGAAUUUAAAGGAUUUAGAUCGGGUCUAUGGCCAGUUGCAGAGUGGGCAGGAUCUUAUGACCCGAUAGGUGCAGGACCCAUCUGAACACGGAGACCAGGAAUGGGGUUCCAUGGAGGCCUAGCUGGCACUGCACCCAGGCAUGAGGACACAUCCAGUAAGAAGACCUGCCUCAAGAGGUGCACUGCGGUGACCAGUGGAGGUGACUGGUUGGAGCCUGGAAUUGGAGGCAGAUUCCAAGCUCUGGUGGACAAACUCCCCAGGCCUGGUGGGAAUCACAGCUGGGGCAGACCUCAUCCUGGCUGCCUGGCCACAGGCCCCCACUCUCUGCCACUGGUGGUAGGACGAUGCCUGUGUGGAGAGCUGGCUUCUCUGCUCCCGCCUGGUCCACCACUUGGCUAGAGUUCAGAGACAGGAAGUGAUUGGUCGAAGCUAGCACAGCAAGUUGGUGGCAGACCUGGUUCUAGAGGCAAAACCUUCUGCCAGAUGUGAAUGAAACCUGCAGGCUUCAUUUUCCUUUCUGAGCAGUGCUUCUUAGCACUUUGGAGACACGAAGCCCUUGGAAAAUCUGAUGAAGGUUACGGACCUUCCCUAGGAAAACAGAUAACUGAUGUAGACUCAAAAACCCCAAGGAAUUUCAGGAGCCACUGGACUCCCUGAAUGAAACCCAUCCCUGGACUCCAGGCUAUCACCUGCUGCCCUUUCCUUACCUGUCACACAUUGAGCCCCGAGUCAAGGCCACUGUAAAAGUAGUGCCCCUCCCUGCCCCUGGCCAAGACUCCUUCCCUUGUUCAGGAAUAAAUAAUUCCAAGGAGGAGACCUUUUUAGUCAGUCCCUUCUCCCAGACGUAACGAAUGAUGCAUCAGGUUUCUGGAACCUCAUUUCCCUUCCCCAGACAUUGGCAGAGGUCCCUUGGGCGAGAUUUUCUCUUCUGGUUUUGUUUCUUGUUCUGCCUGACUGGCCACUGGCUUCCACAAAGGAGCCCUUUGCUCCUGGCCUGGGCUCUGAUUUCACCGUGUGGUCUCAGGGGAAGCUGGACUGCUGUGGAUGCUGGUAGGAGCUUGAGUUUGGUCUGAGUCUGCCCCAGGGAGAAAGAAUCCUGCUUCCACCAACCAAGUCCAGUCAGCAGUACCUCCCAGCUGGCCAAGUGUUCAGCCCAGCGGGCUGGGGAGGAAGAGGAUGAGGGCCUCGAUCCUGGUGCCUGUGGCUCUGGGCAGGGUGAGAGGUCGGUGGAGGAGCUUCUGUGUGUUCUCUGAGUGUGCAGCAGUGCAGUUGAAGGGAACAGGGCCCAGGCUGGCAGCAGGGCGAGGACUCCUCCCAUCUUCACACCUGAACCAGUCAGCCUGGAAGCUACAAGUUCUCACCUGCUUCCCCAGAAUGAACAUCAGAAAAGGCAAAACUGACCAGGGCUGGGAUGGGUUUGGGUCAGCGUGGUUGGAGGGCAGCCUGUGGAUCCCCGCACUGGAGUCUUGCUGUCUUCGAUGCAGUUUGGAUCAUACAUUCUUCCCUCCUACUGUAUGCCUCACCCUGGAAUAGCAGAAUGCUCAGGGGGAGAUCCGAGAAUGAGAAGGUGCUCCCAGCCCCAGGAGCUUCCAAUCUGGCUCUAAUCCUUGGCCGACCUAGAGGAAACCUCCACACACACCCCUCCUGUGCUAAUGGUGCAGUUUGUGUCCCCCUCUGCCCAUCACUGUGCUGUGCUUGUUCCUGCCUCUGUGCCUUCCCCUAUAUUGCUUGGACAUGUCCCCUUUCCUCUCCUCUACCCAGCUAAGCCCUUCUGAUCCACGGGGCCCGGCUUCCCAAACCACCCAGCCCACAUUCCUCCUUCCCGCUCCGAACAGGCCCUGUGUGAGCCCUUGCCCCUGAACUGCGUGCUGUCCCACGGACGCUCCAGUCUCUUCUGUGUGUGUCUUGAGUCCCCAACUAGACAGUUAGCUCCCUGAGGGCAAGGGACUGUCAUUUCCUCUUGAGCCCUACCAGGGUCUAGCACAGGACUGGGCUCCUAACUCUCAGGAAACACUCGUCGACUGACUGGUGCCUCAAGUGCUGGAGCUUGUCGGUGGCCGGUAAUUGGCAGUGCACGUGGGGAGAGGGUAUGUGAGUUAACUCAAGGGUGCCUUUUAUUGGGCUGUGGGCUGGCUCCCCUGGGUCAAAAGUGGAUGUCAGAGUCCUCAGGCUCUUACCUCCUUGGGGCAGUGGGAGCAUCAGGGACUGCCUGCCCUGGCUCUGCAGGACUGCACAGAAGUGGUUGUCCAGCCUGGAUAUUUCUAUAGGUUGCUGACACCUGCGGGAGCUGACUGAGUGGAAUAAAUGUUCUCUCAACAUCA
rnacentral:sRNA from 1 species